rnacentral:rRNA from 1 species
GACUUAUUUGCCGAACUCCAGAACACCCCCUUGUCGUCUCGCCACAUUAGGUGGCUUGAGAUUGGGGUCCUAGCCUGGACCCUAUGGACGGUCCGCAAUAAGCUUGUGAUCCAGCGCACCCCUCUUCGACGAGCUACUGACGCAAUCUUCAAAUUCUCUGGUUUCUUGCAGCUUUGGCGGCCGCUUAGCCGCCCCCAGGACCGCGACGCCAUCUCCGCCUUCAUCGCGGACCUCCGAUCGGUGGCCAUCCGCCUGUCGCCGCCGCCCCCGCCGCCUCCG